rnacentral:rRNA from 1 species
GACGAACGCGGCGGCGUGCUUAACACAUGCAAGUCGAACGGAGCGAAUGAAAGCUUGCUUUUAUGAGCUUAGUGGCAAACGGGUGAGUAACACGUAGACAACCUGCCGAUCAGAUGGGGACAACAUUCCGAAAGGAAUGCUAAUACCGAAUGAAGUGUGGGGGAGGCAUCUUCCCUACAUGAAAGAUGGCCUCUGAAUAUGCUAUCACCUGUCGAUGGGUCUGCGUCUGAUUAGCUGGUUGGUGAGGUAACGGCUCACCAAGGCGACGAUCAGUAGCCGGUCUGAGAGGAUGAACGGCCACAUUGGGACUGAGACACGGCCCAGACUCCUACGGGAGGCAGCAGUGGGGAAUCUUCCGCAAUGGGCGCAAGCCUGACGGAGCAACGCCGCGUGAGUGAAGAAGGUCUUCGGAUCGUAAAGCUCUGUUUGACGGGGGACGAAACGUGCGAAAGGGUGAAAUAAAUCCCUUGUAAAUG